UGGGGAAUAUUGCACAAUGGGCGCAAGCCUGAUGCAGCCAUGCCGCGUGUAUGAAGAAGGCCUUCGGGUUGUAAAGUACUUUCAGCGGGGAGGAAGGUGUUAAGGUUAAUAACCUCAGCAAUUGACGUUACCCGCAGAAGAAGCACCGGCUAACUCCGUGCCAGCAGCCGCGGUAAUACGGAGGGUGCAAGCGUUAAUCGGAAUUACUGGGCGUAAAGCGCACGCAGGCGGUCUGUCAAGUCGGAUGUGAAAUCCCCGGGCUCAACCUGGGAACUGCAUUCGAAACUGGCAGGCUAGAGUCUUGUAGAGGGGGGUAGAAUUCCAGGUGUAGCGGUGAAAUGCGUAGAGAUCUGGAGGAAUACCGGUGGCGAAGGCGGCCCCCUGGACAAAGACUGACGCUCAGGUGCGAAAGCGUGGGGAGCAAACA
rnacentral:rRNA from 1 species